rnacentral:rRNA from 1 species
AAAAUCCGGAAGGUCAUUCAACGCCGAGAAGUGAGUGCGAGUCGACCAGCAAUGGAAGACGAAGUGUUUGAUGCCCCGCUUCCAGGAAAAGCCUCUAAGCUUCAGGUAACAGUUGUCCGUACCGUAAACCGACACUGGUGGGUGAGCAGGUAAUCUGCUAAGGCGCUUGAGAGAACUCUGGUUAAGGAACUCUGCAAAUUGAUACCGUAACUUCGGAAGAAGGUAUGCCUUUGAUGGUCACUGGACUUGCUCCAGGAAGCUGUUAAAGGCCGCAGGUAAUCGAGGGCUGCGACUGUUUACCAAAAACACAGGACUCUGCUAACACGCAAGUGGAUGUAUAGGGUCUGACGCCUGCCCGGUGCUGGAAGGUUAAUUGAUGGGGUCAGCCGCAAGGCGAAGCUCCUGAUCGAGGCCCCAGUAAACGGCGGCCGUAACUAUAACAGUCCUAAGGUAGCGAAAUUCCUUGUCGGGUAAGUUCCGACCUGCACGAAUGGCGUAACGCUGGCCCUACUGUCUCGACCAGAGACUCAGUGAAGUUGAAAUCGCUGUGAAGAUGCGGCGUAGCUGCGGAAAGACGGAAAGACCCCGUGAACCUUUACUACAGCUUUACACUGAACUUUGAACUUGUUUGUGUAGGAUAGGUGGGAGCCCUUGAAGCAGGGGCGCUAGCUCUUGUGGAGGCAACCUUGAAAUACCACCCUGAUAAUUUCGGAGUUCUAACCUUGUCCCGUAAUCCGGGAUGGGAACAAUGUAUGGUGGGUAGUUUGACUGGGGCGGUCUCCUCCCAAAGAGUAACGGAGGAGUGCAAAGGUACCCUCAGCGCGGUCGGUCAUCGCGCUUCUGAGUGCAAUGGCAUAAGGGUGCUUGACUGCGAGACGUACAUGUCGAGCAGGAACGAAAGUUGGUCAUAGUGAUCCGGUGGUUCUGUAUGGAAGGGCUAUCGCUCAACGGAUAAAAGGUACUCCGGGGAUAACAGGCUUAUUCCUCCCAAGAGUCCACAUCGACGGAGGAGUUUGGCACCUCGAUGUCGGCUCAUCACAUCCUGGGGCUGUAGCAGGUCCCAAGGGUUCGGCUGUUCGCCGAUUAAAGUGGUACGCGAGCUGGGUUCAAAACGUCGUGAGACAGUUUGGUCCCUAUCUUCCGUAGCCGUUGGAGAUUUGAGGGUGAGUUGCUCCUAGUACGAGAGGACCGGAGUGAAUGUACCUCUGGUUUCCGGUUGUCACGCUCGUGGCACUGCCGGGUAGCUAUGUACAGACGGGAUAACCGCUGAAAGCAUCUAAGCGGGAAGCCCCCCCCAAGACCAGAUCUCCCUGAGGACUUGAUCCUCCUGAAGGGCCCAAGAAGACUACUUGGUUGAUAGGCUCGGUGUGUAAGUGCAGCAAUGCACUCAGCUAACGAGUACUAAUUGCCCGUGAGGCUUGACCAU